AUUCAGCUGACCGGUCUCAAAUAGGACGAAACGCGCAUCCUGGAU
rnacentral:hammerhead_ribozyme from 1 species